GUCCAGACUCCUACGGGAGGCAGCAGUGGGGAAUAUUGCACAAUGGGGGAAACCCUGAUGCAGCGACGCCGCGUGAGUGAAGAAGUAUUUCGGUACGUAAAGCUCUAUCAGCAGGGAAGAAAAUGACGGUACCUGAUUAAGAAGCCCCGGCUAACUACGUGCCAGCAGCCGCGGUAAUACGUAGGGGGCAAGCGUUAUCCGGAUUUACUGGGUGUAAAGGGAGCGUAGACGGCGAUGCAAGCCAGAUGUGAAAGCCCGGGGCUCAACCCCGGGACUGCAUUUGGAACUGUGUGGCUGGAGUGUCGGAGAGGCAGGCGGAAUUCCUAGUGUAGCGGUGAAAUGCGUAGAUAUUAGGAGGAACACCAGUGGCGAAGGCGGCCUGCUGGACGAUGACUGACGUUGAGGCUCGAAAGCGUGGGGAGCAAACAGGAUUAGAUACCCGAGUAA
rnacentral:rRNA from 1 species